GAUGAACGCUGGCGGCGUGCUUAACACAUGCAAGUCGAACGAUGAAGCUGGAGCUUGCUCUGGGGGAUUAGUGGCGAACGGGUGAGUAACACGUGAGCAACCUGCCCCUGACUCUGGGAUAUCAGCCGGAAACGGCUGCUAUUACCGGAUAUGCACCAUGAACGCAUGUUCUGUGGUGGGAAAGAUUGUUCGGUCGGGGAUGGGCUCGCGGCUUAUCAGCUUGUUGGGGAGGUAAUGGCUCACCAAGUCGUCGACGGAUAGCCGGCCUGCGAGGUUGACCGGCGACACGGGGACUAAGGCACGCCGCAGACGGCAACGGGAGGCAACAGUGGAAAGUAUGACACAGUAAGCGAGAGCGUGAGACAGCGACGCCGCGUUAGGGAUGCCCUCCUUCGGGUUGUAAACCUCUUUUAGCAGAGAAGAAGCGAGAGUGACGGUACCUGAAGAAAAAGCGCCGGCUAACUACGUG
rnacentral:rRNA from 1 species